rnacentral:tRNA from 18 species
AAGGGGUUAAGUUAAGCAAAACAGUUGACUUUCAAAGUUAAUUAUGUAGGUGGAAAUCUUACACUCUUUG